GCGGAACCGCGGACGUGGCGCUCAAUGACCACGGGCAGCUGCUUGGCAGCCGGCGCUGCUGGAACCGCGACGACGCAUUUCGAGGUGUCAUCCCCCCCCAAAAGGGAGCACCUGAGAAUCCCUGAAGCCUCUGACCAAUACAGAAAAUGUUAUGCUGAGGGACAGAGCCAGUAGUUUCAACCAUAGCAGCAGCAGAAGCAAAAGAGAGAACCAGAUUUUGACCGGUCAGAGAGGUGAAGCAUCACCACUGUACAAAUAGGAUCCUCCAGGUUUUUCAAAAGAAGGGGAGGAACAGUUGUAUGUCAGCAGACUGAAGAGGUAUUUGGCAGAGUUUGAAUCAGCUCUAAAGUUGAGGAUCCGAUCCCAUCUUAACUCAAAGGAUGUAGCAAGAAGAAAUCAAACUUCACAAGAAGUUGAGGAUUUGAAAAAAGGAUGGCAUUCAUGUUUUGAAUUCCUGGAUUAAUGGCUCUGGAUGGAGUCCAUUUAAGAUUAAGACAGUAGCCAAGAGCCGUCCUUCCAGCCCCACACUGUGCAGACCUGGGAGAAAGGAGGAAGUGGUCCUCAUCCUAAGGAAUUUAAACUGUGAGAAAAGUGGUGAUGAGAUACAAGUCAUGCUAAUUUCAAGUGUUAAUGAAGCAGAAUCCAUCCCGAUGUGAAGCCUCUGAAGAGGGAUGCUGCAUCUUCGACGGAAGGUGUUAUGAGUGCAGAUUAGUUAGACAAGUGCUGGAGUGAAUGCAUAAGCAGUGAUUUUGCAUAAUGAGGUAUGUGAAAUCCCAGUGGAGGUUGUUAAAACAGAUAGACAGCCUGUGGUAAACAACAAGGAAGGUAAGCUUUGAAAACAGAUGGCUUUGAAAACCUGGCAAA
rnacentral:lncRNA from 1 species